rnacentral:rRNA from 1 species
GAUCCUGGCUCAGGAUGAACGCUGGCGGCGUGCCUAAUACAUGCAAGUCGAACGCUUUGUGGUUCAACUGAUUUGAAGAGCUUGCUCAGAUAUGACGAUGGACAUUGCAAAAGAGUGGCGAACGGGUGAGUAACACGUGGGAAACCUACCUCUUAGCAGGGGAUAACAUUUGGAAACAGAUGCUAAUACCGUAUAACAACGACAACCGCAUGGUUGUUAUUUAAAAGAUGGUUCUGCUA